rnacentral:rRNA from 16 species
GGAACUGAGACACGGUCCAGACACCUACGGGUGGCAGCAGUCGAGAAUCAUUCACAAUGGGGGAAACCCUGAUGGUGCGACGCCGCGUGGGGGAUGAAUGGCUUCGGCCCGUAAACCCCUGUCAUUUGUGAACAAACCUUUUGGAGUAAUAUUUCAAAAGCUGAUAGUAGCAAAAGAGGAAGGGACGGCUAACUCUGUGCCAGCAGCCGCGGUAAUACAGAGGUCCCAAGCGUUGUUCGGAUUCACUGGGCGUAAAGAGUGCGUAGGUGGCUAGGUAAGUUCGAUGUGAAAGCUCCGAGCUCAACUCGGAAAUUGCAUUGAAAACUGCUUGGCUAGAGGGUCGGAGGGGAGACUGGAAUUUUCGGUGUAGCAGUGAAAUGCGUAGAUAUCGAGAGGAACACCAGUGGCGAAGGCG